AACGGCRAGUGAAGCGGCAAUAGCUCAAUUUGAAAUCUGCUCUUUGAGCCGAAUUGUAAUUUGUAGAGGAUGCUUCGGCUUACGUCUCGGUCUAAGUUCCUUGGAACAGGACGUCACAGAGGGUGAGAAUCCCGUUUGUGGCCGCGACUUCCGCCAUGUGAAGCUCCUUCGACGAGUCGAGUUGUUUGGGAAUGCAGCUCUAAAUGGGAGGUAUAUUUCUUCUAAAGCUAAAUACCGGCCAGAGACCGAUAGCGCACAAGUAGAGUGAUCGAAAGAUGAAAAGCACUUUGGAAAGAGAGUUAAAAAGUACGUGAAAUUGUUGAAAGGGAAGCGCUUGCGACCAGACUUGCCCGCGGAUGCUCAACCGGUCCUUCGGCCGGUGCACUCUUCCGCGGUCAGGCCAGCAUCAGUUCGAGUAGUUAGAUAAAGGCUUAGGGAAUGUGGCUCUCUUCGGGGAGUGUUAUAGCCCUUUGUGCAAUAUAACUCACUUGGACUGAGGCCCGCGCUUCGGCUAGGAUGCUGGCGUAAUGGUCGUAAGCGGCCCGUCUUGAAACACGGACCAAGGAGUCUAACAUCUAUGCGAGUGUUUGGGUGUCAAACCCGUGCGCGAAAUGAAAGUGAACGGAGGUGGGAACCUUAGGGUGCACCAUCGACCGAUCCUGAUGUCUUCGGAUGGAUUUGAGUAAGAGCAUAGCUGUUGGGACCCGAAAGAUGGUGAACUAUGCCUGAAUAGGGUGAAGCCAGAGGAAACUCUGGUGGAGGCUCGCAGCGGUUCUGACGUGCAAAUCGAUCGUCA
rnacentral:rRNA from 1 species